UGGGGGAGGGUGAGAGGAAGGAGAGGAGCAGGAAAGGUAACUAUUGGUUACUGGGCUUAAUACUUGGGUGAUGAAAUAACACACACAGCAAAGCCCUGUAACACUUGUUUAUGUAUGUACAAAAGUUUCACAUAUACCCCCAAACCUAAAAAAAAAAAAAAAAAAAAAGGAAAGUGUGCUUACGAGCUCUGUGAGUCUGCUGAAAUGAUGGUAGACGACAAGCUGUCCUCAAUCAUUCGCCCCCCGCUCCCCAGCCAAUUUUCUCUGUGCAACAGUGGCUAUUUACUUUGGUUACAAGAUAAAAUUUAUGUAAGUGGUUGAGCCUAGACUUAGGGGCACUAGUUUCAGAAAAAAAUGAAACUAUAUAUAUUUCCAUGUUUUUUCCAAGGCCAAGAGUAGUUUUGUCCUAAGACAACAGUAAUCAGUAUUUUUUGCUUUUGUUUUGUUUUGGUUUUCUUUAUACUCUUUAACUACUUUUUACUUUUCACAUACCUUACUCUCUUGUACUAUGAAAACUUAUUGAAGACUCCAAAGAGGUUUUACUUCUAGGUUGUAAAUGUCAGUACUCACUGUUGGAAACUGAAACAGAACCACUACAAUGCUUAUUGAAACUGAAACAGAACCACUACAAUGCUUAUUUAAUGAUGCCAAGGAAGAUAGCAAAGAUAAAAGCAUUGCAUAUUAAUAACAUCUCGGUAAUAGGAUGAAGUUAUUUCUGGCCUCAGAAACAGCCCUGAGACCUGUCCGAAAAUCAAGUGUCAUUUUGUUCCACAUAUGAAAGAGCAGAACCACAGACACAACUUGGAAAGUAAAACUCAUCUGCCUUGGUUUUUAUAAUGCCUGAAUCUGGAAAUCUAUAAAACCUGUUAAGAUACUAGCAAAGCUUUCUCAAUUUUGAUGAGCUUAUUUUCUUUGUUUACUGACUAAUAUCUUCAUCUGCAAUAUAAAGUGUUACCAUUUUUGUUGUGUGUAAUCUGUCUAGAUAAUAAAGAUUUUCUUUUCACCAGA
rnacentral:lncRNA from 1 species